CUUCGCUGGCAAUGGGUAAAGUGUCACCUUAGUGGUGGUGUUUUUAUCAGUCAGGGGCAGAGCAGUUGGCAGUCUUUUGUUCACCCUAGCUUGAAGCCUCGCUUGGUGGCCAAAGCUGGUUUGUGCCUAGAACACAUAA